UGCAAAGGAGAAUUCCCAAAAGAUAGCUGUAUUUGCAGAAACUGAGUGACUAGAAUUUCAGCACUGUGGAAAGACUGGAAUGUGGCAAAGAUAGGAUCCCGUGGGACUGCGCUGCAGGCAGACGGACUGGCGUGUUCGUUAUAAAGACGGAUCAAGGCUAAAAACAAAGAAGCUUUGGACAAAUUUGAACUCAAAAGAAUCCAGUACUUCAAACAUAAAAAGAAUCAUAUACCCUGAGACUGAGGAUUUCUGGACCUAGAUAAGUAGGACUGAAAAGAAAGAGGCCUGGCCAAACAUGAAAAAAAAAAAAAAAAAAAGAUAUAUGGGCCUAGGCCUAUCCCUGCUCCAGAAGAGGCUCAGGCCAAAAGCAAAAAGUGAUGUGGGUCUGAGCCUGUCCCUGAACCUUGAAAAGGCCGGGACCAAAAGCAAGAAGUGAUGUCGACCUGGGCAAAUCCUUGACCUUUGAAGAGACCUGGCAUAAAGAAAGAAGUAAUGUGGGCUUGGGCUUAUACCUAACUUUGAGAGGCCCAGGCCAAAAGCAAGGAGUGAUGUGGGCCUGGACUUAUCCCAGACAAUUGAAGAGGGCCGGGCAGAAAAACAAAAAAUGAUGUGGGCCUGGACCUAACCCUGUCCCUUGAAGAGGCCGGGGCUAAAAGCAAAAUGUGAAUGUGGGCUUGGGCCUAUCCCUGAAAUUUAAAGAGGCCUGGGCACACUGCAAGAUAUGAAGAGGGUCUGGGCCUUUGCCUGACCUUUGAAGCGGCCCGGACAAAAAGCAAAAAAAUGAGGGCCUGGGCCAAAAGAAAGAAGUGAUGUGGGCCUGGGCCUAUCCCUGAAAUUUGAAGAGGCCUGGGCCUAACACAAGAAGUGAAGAGGGCCUGGGCCUAUGCCUGACCCUAGAAGAGCCUUGGGUCAAAAGGAAGAAGUGAUAUGGGCAUUGGCCUAUCCUCCCGAUCCAUGAAGAGGCCUAUCCUUGACAUAUGAAGAGGCCCGGGCCACAAGAAAGAAGUUAAAGUGCCUGGUCCUAUCCCUGAAGUUUGAAGAGGCCCGGGCCUAAAGAAAGAAGUUUUAUGUUCCCAGGCCUAUUCCUGAACAUUAAAGAGGCCCAGGCCAAAGUAAAUAAGAGAUGAGGGCCUGGGCCUAUCCCUGACCCUUGAAGAGGCUCGGGCCAAAAGGAAGAAGUGAUGUGGGCCUGGGCCUAACCCUGACACUUGAAGAGGCCUGAGCCUAAAGCAAGAAAUGAUGGGUGCCUGGGCCUAUACCUGAAGAUUACUUUUUCCUUUCUUUUCCUUCCCCUUCCCCUUUUCCCUUUUCCCCUUCCUCCUUCCCCAUUUCCCC
rnacentral:lncRNA from 1 species